rnacentral:rRNA from 2 species
UCGAGAAUUUUUCUCAAUGGGGGAAACCCUGAAGGAGCGACGCCGCGUGGAGGAUGAAGGUCUUCGGGUUGUAAACUCCUGUCAUUUGGGAACAAGUGUCGGUACCUAACUGCUACCGGCUUGAUAGUACCAGAAGAGGAAGGGACGGCUAACUCUGUGCCAGCAGCCGCGGUAAUACAGAGGUCUCAAGCGUUGUUCGGAUUCAUUGGGCGUAAAGGGUGUGUAGGUGGCGCCGUAAGUCGGGUGUGAAAUUUCGGAGCUUAACUCCGAAACUGCAUUCGAUACUGCGGUGCUUGAGGACUGGAGAGGAGACUGGAAUUCAUGGUGUAGCAGUGAAAUGCGUAGAGAUCAUGAGGAAGACCAGUGGCGAAGGCGGGUCUCUGGACAGUUCCUGACACUGAGACACGAAGGCCAGGGGAGCAAACG